rnacentral:rRNA from 1 species
GUGGGGUAAGGCUCACCAGGCGACGAUCCGUAGCUGGUCUGACAUAUGAUCAGCCACACUGGGACUGAGACACGGCCCACACUCCUACGGGAGGCAGCAGUGGGGAAUUUUGGACAAUGGGGGCAACCCUGAUCCAGCCAUGCCGCGUGAGUGAAGAAGGCCUUCGGGUUGUAAAGCUCUUUCGGCCGGGACGAAAUCGCAUGGGCGAAUAUCCCGUGUGGAUGACGGUACCGGAAGAAGAAGCACCGGCUAACUACGUGCCAGCAGCCGCGGUAAUACGUAGGGUGCGAGCGUUAAUCGGAAUUACUGGGCGUAAAGCGUGCGCAGGCGGUUUUGUAAGCCAGACGUGAAAUCCCCGGGCUUAACCUGGGAACUGCAUUUGGGACUGCAAGGCUUGAGUACGGCAGAGGGGGGUAGAAUUCCUGGUGUAGCAGUGAAAUGCGUACAUAUCAGGAGGAAUACCGAUGGCGAAGGCAGCCCCCUGGGUCGAUACUGACGCUCAUGCACGAAAGCGUGGGGAGCAAACAGGAUUAGAUACCCUGGUAGUCCACGCCCUAAACGAUGUCAACUAGUUGUUGGGGGCCUUACCGCCCUUAGUAACGCAGCUAACGCGUGAAGUUGACCGCCUGGGGAGUACGGUCGCAAGAUUAAAACUCAAAGGAAUUGACGGGGGCCCCCACAAGCGGUGGAUGAUGUGGA